UACGUAGGUGACAAGCGUUGUCCGGAUUUACUGGGCGUAAAGAGCGCGCAGGCGGUCGAUCAAGUCGAGUGUGAAAGCCCCCGGCUCAACUGGGGAGGGUCAUUCGAUACUGAUCGACUCGAAGGCAGGAGAGGGUAGUGGAAUUCCCGGCGUAGUGGUGAAAUGCGUAGAUAUCGGGAGGAACACCAGUGGCGAAGGCGGCUUUCUGGCCUGUUCUUGACGCUGAGGCGCGAAAGCUAGGGUAGCAAACGGG
rnacentral:rRNA from 1 species